UACAGAGGUCUCAAGCGUUUGUUCGGAUUCAUUGGGCGUAAAGGGUGUGUAGGUGGCGCGCUAAGUCGGGUGUGAAAUUUCGGAGCUUAACUCCGAAACUGCAUUCGAUACUGGCGUGCUUGAGGACUGGAGAGGAGACUGGAAUUCAUGGUGUAGCAGUGAAAUGCGUAGAGAUCAUGAGGAAGACCAGUGGCGAAGGCGGGUCUCUGGACAGUUCCUGACACUGAGACACAAGGCCAGGGGAGCA
rnacentral:rRNA from 1 species